UCUUUGCAGCCUUGUGAAUCCGCCCCCUGCAGACGACUGUUGCUCGCGGGCACAACGAGGCUGCAGACAGCAACUCAAAGAAUGAAAAGGCGUGGCUCCUGGAGGUUCAGGAGAUUCACGUGCGAUGUUCCUUGGACACACCUCCUGCUUUCCACGGAGGUGACGGCCUCGCUCUGUAGCCGUCACCUUUCUUGAGGCAGGUAGAGAAACACCUGGCAGUCAGAUAUUGUUUGAGGCAGGUGGAGCUCUUCCUGUCAAACACUGUCAACUGUCACAUUU